AAGAUAAACGCACUCUCAAAAGCAUAUUAUAUAUGAUCAUCACAUAUUAUAUACCAUAGUAAUUUGUCACAUCAUUCUACAUGCUGCAUUCAGUAUAUCCACAUUUUUCCUAUUGGACAACCUAAAUCGGAUAAGCUGCUAGAUAGCAAAAACUGAGCACGAACAAUCUUCAAAGAAAAAAAAAUAUAACUUAGCAUGAAAUAAAGCACAAUAUAUUCUAUGAGAAAACUAUAUCACCAAACAAACUAACAAAUUUGCCUGCAAAAUUUUCUGGGGUAGCAUAUUAACACCAACUACGCCUCAAAGCAGCAACUUGAGCCCAAAUCCUACAGUUCAAAGGAGACCAGUUAAGAGUAAUAUUCCCGAGCCAAAUCAGAAGAGGGAACUGCGCCAAGGCAAUGAAGAGCAGCAGGUAAUGGUGUCUGCUCGAAUCGUAACUCCUCACUUCUGCAAAAAGACUCUCUUCAUGGUCUUCACCAGGAAGAUUCCCAUGCACAAGCAUGUCCAUGGCAGCAGAAAGUAGUACGCAUAACCCCAAAUACUCUUCCCUAAUAUAGCGAAAGACAAUCCGGUAGAAGGUGUAUCCAGCGUACGCCACGAUGUCGAGCAAAGGAGCCUCCCCGCUACCUAGGGAAACAAUGUCAUCUUCAGCAGGGCAACUUGAAAGGACCAGCCAACGACACCUUUAACAAAUAGCCAGUUCAGGGCUUCGGGGCUAAACCUGACAGAACAACGCAUAAUAAGCAUGCCAUAACUUGGAAAGACAUCAAAGC
rnacentral:lncRNA from 1 species